rnacentral:pre_miRNA from 1 species
UUUUGCGUCCUCAUCAGCUAGUGAGGAGGCUGGGAUGCUAGAUCUAGCGACUCUAGCCUCCCCACCGGUGGAUCCGUCUAGCCA